GCCGCGGUAAUUCCAGCUCCAAUAGCGUAUAUUAACGUUGUUGCAGUUAAAAAGCUCGUAGUUGAAGUGAGGGAGUGUGUGGGUAUGAGAGCUAGUCUCGAGUGUUCACAACCUCCCCCCUCCAAUCGGUGUAGUGGGGUAUUCAGUUAUUUCACUACUCCUUUGGUCGUUUACUGUGAGAAAAUUAGAGUGUUCAAAGCGGGCGUUUGUUUGAAUAGAUUAGCAUGGAAUAAUGAUUGAAGGCUUUCGUGUUCGAUUUGAUUGGUUUGUUCAUGGAAGCAAGGUUAAAAGGAACAGUUGGGGGUAUUCAUAUUCACUAGUUAGAGGUGAAAUUCUCGGAUUUAUGGAAGAUGAACAGGUGCGAAAGCAUUUACCAAGGAUGUUUUCAUUAAUCAAGAGCGAAAG
rnacentral:rRNA from 1 species